UACGGAGGGUGCAAGCGUUGUCCGGAUUUAUUGGGUUUAAAGGGUGCGUAGGCGGCCCGUUAAGUCAGUGGUGAAAGCCUCCAGCUCAACUGGAGAACUGCCAUUGAUACUGACGGGCUUGAGUACAGACGUGGUUGGCGGAAUUGAUUGUGUAGCGGUGAAAUGCAUAGAUACAAUCAAGAACUCCGAUUGCGUAGGCAGCUAACUAGGCUGUAACUGACGCUGAGGCACGAAAGCGUGGGGAGCGAACAGG
rnacentral:rRNA from 1 species